ACCGCUGAGCCACCCGGGGUGCCUGAAUGUUGGUUUUCAAAAUACAGAAAUGGGGAAUGGAUUCAUGCUUAUGUUAGCAGCCGUCGUAACGCACACUGUUAUUUUUUGACAAACAAAGGAAUUGAGACACACACUGUUCUCUUUCAGCGCCCAGCACGGGUGGCCCAGAGCCCGGGGGUUGCUGUGCCUCACCGCGGGGAAGCGACCCAGAGGGGCCGCGGGUUUGGGGCUGGCCUUGCAAAUACGGUUCCGCGGCCCUCCUCACACGGGCCCCCUAACCCGGCAGGUGCCCCCGGGGAGCCCUCAUCACACGGGCCCCCUAACCCGGCAGGUCCCCCCGGGGAGCCCUCAUCACACGGGCCCCUUAACCCGGCAGGUGCCCCCGGGGAGCCCUCCUCACACGGGCCCCCUAACCCGGCAGGUGCCCCCGGGGAGCCCUCCUCACACGGGCCCCCUAACCCGGCAGGUGCCCUUGGGGAGCCCUCAUCAGAUGGGCCCCCUAACCCGGCAGGUGCCCCCAGGGAGCCCUCAUCAGAUGGGCCCCCUAACCCGGCAGGUGCCUCCGGGGAGCCCUCCUCAGAUGGACCCCCUAACCCGGCAGGUGCCCCCGGGGAGCCCUCCUCACACAGGCCCCCUAACCCGGCAGGUGCCCCCGGGGAGCCCUCAUCAGAUGGGCCCCCUAACCCGGCAGGUGCCCCCGGGGAGCCCUCCUCAGAUGGACCCCCUAACCUGGCGGGUGCCCCAGGGAGCCUCAGGGAGCAAAUGAGCAAACGCACAACCAGCUGCGCAACCAGCCUUCCGCAGGACGACAGGAUCUGCGCUCACCAGGGGAUGGCGACAGCACCGUGCACCGCGGGACUUCGGCUCUGUCGCCUCCCCACCUCCCUUGACUCACUCCGACCUCUGCUUCUGGAGGAAAUGUCUGUGCUCCUUAGGGCCUCCAUCCUCCCUGCGUGGGGUCAGGGACCAGCCCGUCGCUACAGCACCGGGGCGGGCAAGGAGGCGACCCUCCCGGCGUCCCUGCCCCAUCACGACAGCACGUUGUCCCACGACCUGGGAGCCACGACGGUCAUCACAGGAGGACGCAGGCCGGUGGGGCGCGGUGCCGUCUGA
rnacentral:lncRNA from 1 species